GAUGAACGCUGGCGGCGUGCCUAAUACAUGCAAGUCGAGCGAACGGACGAGAAGCUUGCUUCUCUGAUGUUAGCGGCGGACGGGUGAGUAACACGUGGAUAACCUACCUAUAAGACUGGGAUAACUUCGGGAAACCGGAGCUAAUACCGGAUAAUAUUUUGAACCGCAUGGUUCAAAAGUGAAAGACGGUCUUGCUGUCACUUAUAGAUGGAUCCGCGCUGCAUUAGCUAGUUGGUAAGGUAACGGCUUACCAAGGCAACGAUGCAUAGCCGACCUGAGAGGGUGAUCGGCCACACUGGAACUGAGACACGGUCCAGACUCCUACGGGAGGCAGCAGUAGGGAAUCCUCCGCAAUGGGCGAAAGCCUGACGGAGCAACGCCGCGUGAGUGAUGAAGGUCUUCGGAUCGUAAAACUCUGUUAUUAGGGAAGAACAUAUGUGUAAGUAACUGUGCACAUCUUGACAGUACCUAAUCAGAAAGCCACGGCUAACUACGUG
rnacentral:rRNA from 1 species